AUAAAUUUAACAACUGUCAGCCAGUGACUAGUGCCGAGCACGUCAUUCCGGCUGGAUAAAGUAUCGAUGUCCGACUGACAGUUGGAGGACGUAGGACGCAGGCCGCAGUAGUUGGCUGACAGCUGGAGAAUCGAACCUCGAGUGCGGCUCAUAGCCCAUUUCUUAUUAAAAACCUAAGCCAGCUUAUUAAACUGCGACUUAUUGCUAACCGACAGGCGACAGUUUGAGCAACUGUGCAGGACAUGAGGUCCUGUGCCCUGGCCGCCCCAAUGAACGACUUGAAUUACAGUCAAAACUGGAACUCCGAAAUAUGUUUGUGGAUACUAUGAGAGUACACUUGAGUGAAGCGCGCCAAAUUAAAAUUAGAAUCACUUCCGCAAACAAAUGGGCCGAUGACAAUUUCGCACAGCGGUCGCUGCAGGGGGUAGACCGAUGUAUGUCCUUUACAGAGGGGAAAUUCUAUUCAUGGGCAAUUAUCCUAGUGCCGAGUGGCACGUCCUGCCGCAAAAACCGCAAAUGAUUAUCCUCGGGCAAUCAUUAUCAUUAUCAGCAUCUUUGGCGCCGGGCUAAUACAGAAGUCACGUGUCAACCAGUCGCCGAUAAUAAUCGCACUGGGACUACCCUCUGCGGUUGAGACAACGAGAUGCGCUUGCAAUUUUAUCAGAUUAAGGACCCUCAGCAGCACAAAGUGCAGCGCCGUCCCUGUCCCUUGAGUGUUGAGCGUAUCCUUUUUUCGACCGCCCUCAACAGGUGAGAACUGCACGCACAUUGUGUGAGAAUCUUAAUUUUUUUCUGUUUGUUUUUGUGAUUCUGCUUUGUGCAUAUCAAAUUUCCAGUUGACGCUGUGAUUUGUCGUUUUUAUUAAUUCUCAUGAACUGACAUUGUAACUCCUUCGCAAGGAAAUCCAAUAAAUAAAAACAAAAGUUCAUAUUUAAAAAUCAAUGCAUUAAAGCGCAGCUAUGGAACUAGUUCUUGGCCAAUACUAGCUCAAAUAAAUACCACAAAUGUUAAUAACAGCGUAUGACACUUACAUUAA